rnacentral:rRNA from 1 species
AGUCACUGACAUUAGAUACCCCCGUAGUCCAGGGUGUAAACGCUGCAGACUUGGUGUUGGGAACCCUUCGGGGGUGCUCAGUGCCGGAGAGAAGUUGUUAAGUCUGCUACUUGGGGAGUACGUCCGCAAGGAUGAAACUUAAAGGAAUUGGCGGGGGAGCACCGCAACGGGAGGAGCGUGCGGUUUAAUUGGAUUCAACACCGUAAAACUCACCAGGGAAGACUGUUACAUGAAGGCCGAGAUGAAGACUCUGCUAGAUUUUCAG